CUACGGGAGGCAGCAGUGGGGAAUAUUGCGCAAUGGGCGAAAGCCUGACGCAGCGACGCCGCGUGAGGGACGACGGCCUUCGGGUUGUAAACCUCUUUCAGCAGGGAAGAAGCGAAAGUGACGGUACCUGCAGAAGAAGCACCGGCUAACUACGUGCCAGCAGCCGCGGUAAUACGUAGGGUGCAAGCGUUGUCCGGAUUUAUUGGGCGUAAAGAGCUCGUAGGCGGUCUGUCACGUCGGAUGUGAAAACCCGGGGCUUAACUCCGGGCCUGCAUCCGAUACGGGCAGACUAGAGUGUGGUAGGGGAGACUGGAACUCCUGGUGUAGCGGUGAAAUGCGCAGAUAUCAGGAAGAACACCGGUGGCGAAGGCGGGUCUCUGGGCCACUACUGACGCUGAGGAGCGAAAGCGUGGGGAGCAAACAGGAUUAGAUACCCGAGUAGUCC
rnacentral:rRNA from 1 species